rnacentral:rRNA from 1 species
GUAGGUGGCAAGCGUUGUCCGGAAUUAUUGGGCGUAAAGCGCGCGCAGGCGGUCCUUUAAGGUCUGAUGUGAAAGCCCACGGGCUCAACUGUGGAGGGUCAUUGGAAACUGGGGGACUUGAGUACAGAAGAGGAAAGCGGAAUUCCAAGUGUAGCGGUGAAAUGCGUAGAGAUUUGGAGGAACACCAGUGGCGAAGGCGGCUUUCUGGUCUGUAACUGACGCUGAGGCGCGAAAGCGUGGGGAGCAAACAGGAUUAGAUACCCUGGUAGUCCACGCCGUAAACGAUGAGUGCUAAGUGUUAGGGGGUUUCCGCCCCUUAGUGCUGCAGCUAACGCAUUAAGCACUCCGCCUGGGGAGUACGGCCGCAAAGGCUG